rnacentral:rRNA from 1 species
UACGUAGGGUGCAAGCGUUGUCCGGAAUUAUUGGGCGUAAAGAGCUCGUAGGCGGUCUGUCGCGUCUGGUGUGAAAACUCGGGGCUUAACUCCGGGCCUGCAUCGGGUACGGGCAGACUAGAGUGCGGUAGGGGAGACUGGAAUUCCUGGUGUAGCGGUGAAAUGCGCAGAUAUCAGGAGGAACACCGGUGGCGAAGGCGGGUCUCUGGGCCGUAACUGACGCUGAGGAGCGAAAGCGUGGGGAGCAAACAGG